ACUCCUACGGGAGGCAGCAGUGGGGAAUAUUGCACAAUGGGGAAACCCUGAUGCAGCCAUGCCGCGUGUGUGAAGAAGGCCUCGGUUGUAAAGCACUUCAGUAGGGAGGAAGGUAGUGUAGUUAACACCUGCACUAUUUGACGUUACCUACAGAAGAAGCACCGGCUAACUCCGUGCCAGCAGCCGCGGUAAUACGGAGGGUGCGAGCGUUAAUCGGAAUUACUGGGCGUAAAGCGCAUGCAGGCGGCCUGUUAAGUCAGAUGUGAAAGCCCGGGGGCUUAACCUCGGAAUUGCAUUUGAAACUGGCAGGCUAGAGUCUUGUAGAGGGGGUAGAAUUUCAGGUGUAGCGGUGAAAUGCGUAGAGAUCUGAAGGAAUACCAGUGGCGAAGGCGGCCCCCUGGACAAAGACUGACGCUCAGAUGCGAAAGCGUGGGGAGCAAACAGGAUUAGAUACCCUGUAGCACAGAG
rnacentral:rRNA from 1 species